ensembl:lncRNA
GAGGUGUGGCGGCAGGGGAAGAAGGCACACGGUUGAAACCAUGGCACCAAGAAGGAUAAGGAAAAUCGGCAAUCAGACAGAAGGACACGCAGAUGGUCAAAUUAGCAAGGAGAUACGCCAAAAGCAAGGGACGCUUUUUAUUCAACAGUUCGAGAAAGAAGGCUGUUCAUUUUAACGGAUGGCAAUUCGGCAGGUGAAGUCACCAUCGCCAUAAAGACCGAAUCACACGAGAUUCACCAGCCUCUCACAAGGAAGGUCAGUAAAGGUUUCCAAGAAAGCCAGAUCACUUGCCAAUGGCGGCUCAAGCACUGGAAGCCUACGGAGUGCCACAUCCACAAGUACAAAAAUAACCAACUCGCAUUGCCAAAAUCAGUGAUCAAUCUCCACUGACUGGGACGAAACACAGAUCUGUUUUGUGGUCAGCCAGUGAUGACCACCUGUGUUGCUCCCUGUCUGGAUUGUCUCCACAUGUAAUGAUCUCUACAUCCCAUGGAGAGGUGACUUUUCAUAUUGAGGUUGUUGGGCUUUAAGUUAUUUCAAGCAGUCUAAACUAGUCCCAUUUUCUCCCAAGACUUUGUGCCUCUCGGAUGAUACUGUUGAAGAUGUUGACAUCGGGUUACUGGAUGAUAUGGCUGUUCUCUAGAUGCAGAAGUUGAUGGUAAAAUAUAUUCUUGUCAAUUUCUCAUAUUGAAACUAACAAUUUAUCCCCUAAUAUUCUGACAUUUUUCUCAUUUAGAAACUGAUGGACUAUCUUUUAAACAAAGUCAAAGCGACUCAGCCUAUGAAUUAGUCUGCAAUGAUACCAAGACGUCUAACAUUGAGCCACUAAUGCCACCUAUGCAUGUUUUACUUUCAAAUUUAAAAGUUGAUUCAAUAUAGUUCCGAUUUGUAUAUUCAUUAAUAAUCAAUAAACUGACUGGCUUUAUUAAUGUCUACAGUAUUAUGCAAUUUGGUUUCCCCUCAGGUUAUUGAUGUGUCAUUGCAACAUUAAAGGUCCUCAAUGACAUCACCAUUGCCCUUGUUUCUAAGCAAUGUUGUGCUGCUAUUUUUGACUUGGCCAAAGCUUUUGAUAUGGUAGACCAG